AACGCACAUUGCGCCCCCUGGUAUUCCGGGGGGCAUGCCUGUCCGAGCGUCAUUGCUACCCUCAAGCGCGGCUUGUGUGUUGGGUCGACGUCCGCCCCGAUUCGGGGGGGACGGGCCCGAAAGGCAGUGGCGGCACCGCGUCCGAUCCUCGAGCGUAUGGGGCUCUGUCACCCGCUCCGUGGGAUCGGCCGGCGCCAGCCUGGCAACCUCUUUCUUCUCAGGUUGACCUCGGAUCAGGUAGGGAUACCCGCUGAACUUAA
rnacentral:misc_RNA from 1 species